rnacentral:rRNA from 1 species
CGUUUGACCUCGGAUCAGGUAGGGAUACCCGCUGAACUUAAGCAUAUCAAUAAGCGGAGGAAAAGAAACCAACAGGGAUUGCCCUAGUAACGGCGAGUGAAGCGGCAACAGCUCAAAUUUGAAAUCUGGGUCUUUCAGAGUCCGAGUUGUAAUUUGCAGAGGGCGCUUUGGCUUUGGCAGCGGUCCAAGUUCCUUGGAACAGGACGUCACAGAGGUGAGAAUCCCGUACGUGGUCGCUAGCUAUUGCCGUGUAAAGCCCCUUCGACGAGUCGAGUUGUUUGGGAAUGCAGCUCUAAAUGGGAGGUAAAUUUCUUCUAAAGCUAAAUAUUGGCCAGAGACCGAUAGCGCACAAGUAGAGUGAUCGAAAGAUGAAAAGCACUUUGGAAAGAGAGUCAAACAGCACGUGAAAUUGUUGAAAGGGAAGCGCUUGCAGCCAGACUUGCUUGCAGUUGCUCAUCCGGGCUUUUGCCCGGUGCACUCUUCUGCAGGCAGGCCAGCAUCAGUUUGGGCGGUGGGAUAAAGGUCUCUGUCACGUACCUUCCUUCGGGUUGGCCUUAUAGGGGAGAC